CUUGGCGCGUCCUAACGCAUGCAGUCGAACGGUCACUGGUAGCAAUACGAGUGAUAGUGGCAAACGGGUGAGUAACACGUGGGUAACCUACCCUGGAGUGGGGAAUAACGAUCCGAAAGGGUCGCUAAUACCGCAUAAUUCCGGAAGGGGAAAGCUCCGCAAGGGGCGCUCGAGGACGGGCCUGCGGCCCAUCAGGUAGUUGGGGGGGUAAAGGCCUCCCAAGCCGAUGACGGGUAGCUGAUCUGAGAGGAUGACCAGCCACACUGGCACUGACACACGGGCCAGACUCCUACGGGAGGCAGCAGCGAGGAAUAUUGCGCAAUGGGCGAAAGCCUGACGCAGUAACGCCGCGUGAGGGAAGAAGGCCUUCGGGUCGUAAACCUCUUUUCGGAGGGACGAGUGAGGACGGUACCUCUGGAAUAAGUCUCGGCUAACUACGUGCCAGCAGCCGCGGUAAAACGUAGGAGGCGAGCGUUAUCCGGAUUCACUGGGCGUAAAGCGCGUGUAGGCGGCUCGUCAAGUCGGUUGUGAAAGCCCCUGGCUCAACUGGGGGAGGUCAGCCGAGACUGACGGGCUUGAGGGUCAGAGAGGAAGGUGGAAUUCCCGGUGUAGCGGUGGAAUGCGUAGAGAUCGGGAGGAACACCAGUGGCGAAGGCGGCCUUCUGGCUGACCACUGACGCUGAGACGCGAAAGCGUGGGUAGCAAACGGGAUUAGAUACCCCGGUAGUCCACGCCCUAAACGAUGAGGGCUAGGUGUUGGUGGGAUCACCCAUCCGUGCCGAAGCA
rnacentral:rRNA from 1 species